rnacentral:rRNA from 1 species
GCUAGUCGAACGGUAACAGGAARMAGCUUGCUKYUUYGCUGACGAGUGGCGGACGGGUGAGUAAUGUCUGGGAAACUGCCUGAUGGAGGGGGAUAACUACUGGAAACGGUAGCUAAUACCGCAUAACGUCGCAAGACCAAAGAGGGGGACCUUCGGGCCUCUUGCCAUCGGAUGUGCCCAGAUGGGAUUAGCUAGUAGGUGGGGUAACGGCUCACCUAGGCGACGAUCCCUAGCUGGUCUGAGAGGAUGACCAGCCACACUGGAACUGAGACACGGUCCAGACUCCUACGGGAGGCAGCAGUGGGGAAUAUUGCACAAUGGGCGCAAGCCUGAUGCAGCCAUGCCGCGUGUAUGAAGAAGGCCUUCGGGUUGUAAAGUACUUUCAGCGGGGAGGAAGGGAGUAAAGUUAAUACCUUUGCUCAUUGACGUUACCCGCAGAAGAAGCACCGGCUAACUCCGUGCCAGCAGCCGCGGUAAUACGGAGGGUGCAAGCGUUAAUCGGAAUUACUGGGCGUAAAGCGCACGCAGGCGGUUUGUUAAGUCAGAUGUGAAAUCCCCGGGCUCAACCUGGGAACUGCAUCUGAUACUGGCAAGCUUGAGUCUCGUAGAGGGGGGUAGAAUUCCAGGUGUAGCGGUGAAAUGCGUAGAGAUCUGGAGGAAUACCGGUGGCGAAGGCGGCCCCCUGGACGAAGACUGACGCUCAGGUGCGAAAGCGUGGGGAGCAAACAGGAUUAGAUACCCUGGUAGUCCACGCCGUAAACGAUGUCGACUUGGAGGUUGUGCCCUUGAGGCGUGGCUUCCGGAGCUAACGCGUUAAGUCGACCGCCUGGGGAGUACGGCCGCAAGGUUAAACUCAAAUGAAUUGACGGGGGCCCGCACAAGCGGUGGAGCAUGUGGUUUAAUUCGAUGCAACGCGAAGAACCUUACCUGGUCUUGACAUCCACGGAAGUUUUCAGAGAUGAGAAUGUGCCUUCGGGAACCGUGAGACAGGUGCUGCAUGGCUGUCGUCAGCUCGUGUUGUGAAAUGUUGGGUUAAGUCCCGCACGAGCGCAACCCUUAUCCUUUGUUGCCGGCGGUCCGGCCGGGAAUUCAAGGAACUGCCCUUGAUAACUGGAGGAAGG